CAGUGUCCAGCUCCUCAACAAUUGCACCAUUGAUUAUUGGGCCAGUUAUUGGAAUUUUACUGAUUAUUCUGUUCCCGCUUCUUUGGUACAUAAAGUCAAAGGGUCUAUUUUGUAACAGGCUCACCCAGUCUCAGACGGUCAACCAAGAUGAAACUCAACAGCAGGUGUACUCCUCUCUCCUCCAUGGUGAUGGUUCUGUUUAUGAAACAAUAAGAGGUUCUGAAGAUGCUGGAGCAGGUGGAAAACCAAACUAAUACAGGAAUGUCACAUCACCAAUCAGAGGCAAGCAGAGUAAGUAAUAUGAGACUUAAAAUGAAUGCAAAAUAUGCAUAAAAGUAACAUGUUUGCAGAUCAGAAUUUAAAAGCAAAAUC